UUUGGGGGCCAUACCACCCUGAACACGCCUGGUUAGUACUGGGACGGGAGACUGCCUGGGAAUACCAGGUGCCGUAAGCU
rnacentral:rRNA from 1 species